UAUUGUUCCAUAUGAGGGGAAAGAUCUCUCAGAACCAAAAGCCGAGUUCAAUAAACGGCUUUCUGCAACUCAGAUGGUAGCCAACAGAGCAUUGGCGAGGCUGAAGGACAUGUGGAGGAUCAUUCAUGGAGUGAUGUGGAGACCUGACAAACAUAGGUUGCCAAGGAUUAUCCUAGUCUGCUGCUUGCUCCAUAACAUAGCCAUUGAUUUGGAAGAUGAGGCACAGAGUGAUAUUCCUUUGUCUCACCAGCAUGACCCAGACUACCAGCAACAGACUUGUGAAUCCGUCGACAUAAAAGGUGUGUAUCUGAGAGACAAGCUAUCUUUAUACUUAUCUGGAAGAUUGCCACAAUGAAUAUUUUCUAUUUUCAAGAGCUUGGUUGGCCAG
rnacentral:misc_RNA from 1 species